GGGAGGAUUCCCGAGUGGCCAAAGGGGGCAGACUGUAAAUCUGUUGCGAUAGCUUCAAAGGUUCGAAUCCUUUUCCUCCCACUA
rnacentral:tRNA from 1 species